GAAUUCGCCCUUAGAGUUUGAUUCUGGCUCAGGAUAAACGCUGGCGGCGUACAUAAGACAUGCAAGUCGAACGAGCAGAAGCUAAAAGAUUUAUCUCUUAGUGGAGCUAGUGGCGGAUGGGUGAGUAACACGUAAGCAACCUACCUAGCAGAGGGGAAUAACAGUGAGAAAUCAUUGCUAAUACCGCAUACCUUGUAGAGAAGGCAUCUUCAUUACAAGAAAAGAGUAAUCUGCUGUUAGAUGGGCUUGCGCCUGAUUAGCUAGUUGGUGAGAUAAAAGCUCACCAAGGCGACGAUCAGUAGCCGGACUGAGAGGUUGAACGGCCACAUUGGGACUGAGACACGGCCCAAACUCCUACGGGAGGCAGCAGUCGGGAAUAUUGCACAAUGGAGGGAACUCUGAUGCAGUGACGCCGCGUAUAGGAAGAAGGUUUUCGGGUUGUAAACUAUUGUCAUGUGGGAAGAAAAUGACGGUACCACAAGAGGAAGCCCCGGCUAAAUAUGUGCCAGCAGCCGCGGUAAUACAUAUGGGGCGAGCGUUAUCCGGAUUUAUUGGGUGUAAAGGGUGUGUAGGCGGGCUAAAAAGUUACUUGUGAAAUCCCUCGGCUUAACCGAGGAACUGCAAGUAAAACUAAUAGUCUUGAAUGUUAGAGAGGAAAGUGGAAUUCCUAGUGUAGCGGUGGAAUGCGUAGAUAUUAGGAGGAACACCAGAGGCGAAGGCGACUUUCUGGCUAAACAUUGACGCUGAGACACGAAAGUGUGGGGAGCAAACAGGAUUAGAUACCCUGGUAGUCCACACUGUAAACGAUGGAUACUAGGUAUCGGCUGGAUGGCUGUCGGUGCCGAAGUUAACGCAUUAAGUAUCCCACCUGGGGAGUACGACCGCAAGGUUAAAACUCAAAGGAAUUGACGGGGGCCCGCACAAGCAGUGGAGUAUGUGGUUUAAUUCGACGCAACGCGAAGAACCUUACCAGGGCUUGACAUAUUUAGGAAGAUUUAAGAGAUUAAAUUGUUCUCUUCGGAGACCUUAAUACAAGUGGUGCAUGGUUGUCGUCAGCUCGUGUCGUGAGAUGUUGGGUUAAGUCCCGUAACGAGCGCAACCCCUAUGUUUAGUUACUAACAUUAAGUUGAGGACUUUAAACAGACUGCCAGUGAUAAACUGGAGGAAGGUGGGGAGGACGUCAAAUCAUCAUGCUCUUUAUGUCCUGGGCUACACACGUACUACAAUGGGGAGAUCAGAGGGAAGCGAAACCGCGAGGUGGAGCAAAACCCUAAAGCUCUUUUAAGUUCGAAUUGCAGGUUGAAACUCAUCUGCAUGAAGCCGGAAUUGCUAGUAAUGGCAGGUCAUCAUACUGCCGUGAAUAAGGUCCCGGGCCUUGUACACACCGCCCGUCA
rnacentral:rRNA from 1 species